rnacentral:rRNA from 1 species
UCCUUUGACAACUCUAGAGAUAGAGCCUUCCCCUUCGGGGGACAAAGUGACAGGUGGUGCAUGGUUGUCGUCAGCUCGUGUCGUGAGAUGUUGGGUUAAGUCCCGCAACGAGCGCAACCCUUAAGCUUAGUUGCCAUCAUUAAGUUGGGCACUCUAAGUUGACUGCCGGUGACAAACCGGAGGAAGGUGGGGAUGACGUCAAAUCAUCAUGCCCCUUAUGAUUUGGGCUACACACGUGCUACAAUGGACAAUACAAAGGGCAGCGAAACCGCGAGGUCAAGCAAAUCCCAUAAAGUUGUUCUCAGUUCGGAUUGUAGUCUGCAACUCGACUACAUGAAGCUGGAAUCGCUAGUAAUCGUAGAUCAGCAUGCUACGGUGAAUACGUUCCCGGGUCUUGUACACACCGCCCGUCACACCACGAGAGUUUGUAACACCCGAAGCCGGUGGAGUAACCUUUUAGGAGCUAGCCGUCGAAGGUGGGACAAAUGAUUGGGGUGAAGUCGUAACAAGGUAGCCGUAUCGGAAGGUGCGGCUGGAUCACCUCCUUU